AUGUAUGAGGAAAGAGUUUGGAAACAUUCACGCCAAAUUAAAACUAAUCUCCCUGACAGGCAGGCAGGCAGGCGCACACCAGAGGGAUGCAGCGGGCGGGCGUCCUCAUCAGCCCGCCCGGAUCCUUCUAAAAAAACGCCAGAGGGAGAUCAGCAGGGCCGACCCAUCCAGGUCCCUUUCCCCAAGCAAGGAGAGAAGAGGUUUGCAAAUUUGAAAAUGCGUCUGCUCCCGCCCCCCUCCGGCCGCCAGGCAGCUCCUGAUGGAAUGUUUGCUCAAGAUAACUCACUCCUAAUGGCCCAAAUAAAGUUUUACAAGGACAGGUGGGCCUGUUUGAAAGUCCUAGGUAAGACAAACAGAGAAAACAAAAGCCAGCCCCACAGGGCUCAUGGAGCAGAAUGCUCUUCUCUCCUGGCAGCAGGCAGCACAGGAGUGUGUGCACAGCAGACAAGCGGGAUGAAUAGGAGUGACAGCAGGAGCAGAGCCGGGCGGCAGGGCGACCAGCCGAGGUCGUGGUCCCGGGAUGGGGCUCGUUCCUGUGCUCCGGGAAUUGUCCGUCCACGGAUCCACGGGCCUCAGGGCUGCUGGGGCCUCAGCUUGCCUGUGUGUCUGCACGCGGCUGGUUUCCGCAUGGUGAGCCGACCGGCCAUCCACCAGCUCGGUUUUGCCUGCCUUCAGAAGGAAGAGCCGUCAUCCUGGCCCAAGCGGUGGGGAAAUCUGUACUGAUUUGGGGAAGCUGUGGGGUGAUUUCAACAUCUCCUGCCCUGACAAUGGACCUCAAGACAUCGGCCUGAGCCCACUCAGAACAGAUUGCUGUCCACUGUAUUCUCCGAGGCUGGGACAGGAUUCCACAUCCUCCUGGGGCCAUGAAAGCUUUAUCCCUUCUAAUUAGCAUCCCGGCAACUCCGCACAAGUCCUGCUGAAGCAGAUCGGUCUCAUUGUCCCAUUUAAGACACUGGCUUCCUGAAGUUGGCUGCUCAGCCAGCCAGAAUGAGGGACAGGAGACACCAGCCUCUGACUGACGGCCAGGGGACUCCACUGCCUGGGGACAAUGGAUCGACGGCUGUCCCCAGAUGCAUGCCCAGCUGCACGAGGUCUAAGAUGUGCUUUGAGGCCAGCAUUUCCGCUGGCAAAGUUCUAAAUUCUGGGCAAUCCACCGCACCUGCCAGUUACGACCUUCGCUUGUGUUCCAUCCGGUCUCCCGAGGAGCCCAGCAGCCCCUGCCCUAGGUCACGCCCCAGGCUCCCACUCCUUCUUGUGUCUGCCCAAGGGUUUCCUCUCUUAGGGAGUUUGCUGUCAGUCGUGGCCAUGUCCGGAACAUUCUCCUCAUCAUCCUUCUGGCCUGUGCUGGUCCCUCCUCAGCUGCUUGCAAUCCUCGUCUGCCCUCAUUUUCCUCAGAUGAGCCCUGCCCAUCACAAGUAGCUCUGGGUUCUGAUAACCACUCUCCCGUCCACGCCCGCCUCGCGCCUGCUGCUGCAGCCGGCUGUUUGUCCCUGCUGUUUGCAUGUGUGUGGAAUUUCCACACUGCUCCUGAAGCCACAGCCCCGGAGGGCCGGCAGGCCCUGCGCCCGCUAUCACCGACACAGCUCCUCGGCCCCUCCACACAGGAUGCACCGGUGGGAGCAUUGAUCGUCCUCUCGGUUGAGCAAACUGGCCGUGUGGUUCAGUGGCAGGAAUGUGGGAGGACUGACCUAUGCGUGGGUCGUCCUGGCAGGGAUGCCACCUGACACACACCCUUUCCAGCAGGUAUUCAUACCGCCGAGAGCACGCCUAGCUGCUGUGGUGACCAUCUCGACACGCAGUGGGUCAUUACAGAGAAUUCUCUAUUGCUUUCGUUGCAGGUGAUGCGGUUUCCCCGAUCAGUGAGCGUCCGGGACCCAGGCUGCUUCCGUCUUAUGGCUCCACCUUCCUCUAGGGCAGGGGCCUGGUAAUCAAUAGCUGAGACUUUGUGAGCUCGUAGUGGGGAGCAGCCCCAGACAAGGGAGAAGACAGCGCCUGGGGGAGCAGCCCCAGACAAGGGAGAAGACAGCAGGCGCGUCUGCAUUCCAGAGAAACUCUAUGCACAGCUCAGGUGGAGGCUGGAGCUGCCCCUGCUGGGGGCCCGGAGUCCUCGUGCUCUGUCCACAUGGGACGGAGCAUUGAGAUGGCUGCCUGCCCACCCAGAAGUGGCACCUCCUUUCCCCCACGUCCACCGUGAGGGCUGUUCCCACGGUCGACCUGGAUGCAGGGGCCGGGGACAGAGCCCUGGUGGGAAGCCGGUUCUCAGGGACGGUUCUGCCAUAUCGAGAGGGGACAUGAGUCUUCGGUGGGCAGCCAGCUGUCUCCGCACAGGGUUAUACCCCCUUUAUUCUGCAAUUGAGGAAACGCCCAGCAUCGUCCGUGAGGCUGCUCAGGGUCCCGCAUCUCCCAUCGAGCAAAGGGUCAGAUUCGAACCUGGACCCGGCUGACCUCAGAGUCGACGCCCUUUCCACUGAAUCUGAGUUCAAUCCUGCCAUUCGUGAGCUGUACGACCCUGGGCAAGUCUCAGCCUCUCUGUGGAUGUCGUUGUUUAUGUCUAGAAGCACAGAUUCUGUCUAAACUUUCUUCUAAUGCUGAAAAAUCGGUGAGGGCCCCACUGGAAUGUAGAUUGGGAGUCGAUCACUGUCCUCCAUGGAGCCGUGAGGGUGGGCGAUGUGGCGGUGGAUCCAGGUUGGAUCCGUGGUAGUAAGCUGUGCGUCCCAGGACAAGAUACUUAGUCUCUGAGCCUCAGGUGCCUCAUCUACAAAAUGGGGAUGAAAAUGGUACAUGGCCUUUCCCGUCAUUCUCGUGCUUAAGCACAGCGAUGAUUUUACACAGUAUGUGGAUCUGAGCCCAAAGCCUCCAUCUGGCAUCCUAGGUGGGUCUCAUUCCCCCUCUGCACUCUGCUCAGCAUUCAGGCCCCUCCCAACUGCCCUGCGGGUCCUACCUUCCUGCUCUGCCUAUGCGCAUCCCCCAUCCCCACAUUAGCCCCACUCUCCCAGCCCAAGAACCUCAUCCAUCUGUAUCAGACAUGAGCUCCUCCAAGUCACAGCGGGCAGGACCCAGGGGGCCCCUGAGCCAAGUGGCCAGACCCCCCUCAGUCUGGUGGUCUCCAUGGCUGGACCUAGAACUAUGAAUCGGGCCACUAGCAGCCUGCAGCCUGGGAACCCGAACUUGGAACCACAAGCAAGUGAGACACAGUGGAGACUGAAGCUGAGAACCGUGGGGUGGAGGGAAGCUGGAGGCACAGAGUGGGCCACAGGCUGUCAUUUCCCAGCAGGCCCCACCACGGAGAGGGAUGGCGCAGGGUGUGGGAUGAAGGCGAGCCCUCGAGCAUCUUCAUAACAAGGGCUUUGAGCUCCUGUUCUGUGGCCCAAGGACCCGGGUCCAACCAGAAGACCCUUCUUUAAGGCAUGUGUGGAUCUCGCCGACCUUGGAACUGGGUCAGACAUAGACUAGCUCAAUAGUCAUUCAACAAGCAAUGACCCUGAGGCUUCAGCAGCAGAAACAGAAUCCCAUGUGGUGGGGAAAGAGCGCUGGGCCUGGGGCAUUUAGGGGGCGGCCGUCUCUGUGCUUGGUCAGCAGGUCGAACUGUGGCAGAGGGUGGGAUGUGUAAACGCUCGCAUGCGGAGACCACCGGCUGGGAACUGGACUGCUCACCCACCGACAGCAAGACCCACCUGGGCUCAAAGAACAGCUACAUUAGGUUAAAGAAAACCCCCAAACCACAAUAAUAAUGUGAACAACAAGAAUGAAUUAGAAAGGGGCAAAUUACAGAAUUUAGUGUUUUAAAAUAUUUCGUAAAAGGUUUAACAUUAAUCUCCACAGCUUUUAAAAAUCCGUUAAAAUAACCUAGCUCAAUAAACUGUAUUCAAAAGGAUUUUGAUAUUCA
rnacentral:lncRNA from 1 species